rnacentral:rRNA from 1 species
AGCAGCCGCGGUAAUUCCAGCUCCAAUAGCGUAUAUUAAAGUUGUUGCAGUUAAAAAGCUCGUAGUUGAAUUUCGGGAUCAGUUCGCUGGUCGUGCCUCUGGUAUGUACUGGUGUUACUGGUUCCUCCCUUCUGAAGAACUGUCAUGUCAUUAAUUUGGUGUGGCGGGGAAUCAGGACUGUUACUUUGAAAAAAUUAGAGUGUUUAAAGCAGGCUCGCGCUUGAAUACAUUAGCAUGGAAUAAUGAAAUAGGACGUUCGAUCCUAUUUUGUUGGUUUCUAGGAUUGACGUAAUGAUUAAUAGGGAUAGUUGGGGGCAUUAGUAUUCAAUUGUCAGAGGUGAAAUUCUUGGAUUUAUUGAAGACUAACUACUGCGAAAGCAUUUGCCAAGGAUGUUUUCAUUAAUCAAGAACGAAAGUUAGGGGAUCGAAGACGAUCAGAUACCGUCGUAGUCUUAACCAUAAACUAUGCCGACUAGGGAUCGGAUGAUGUUAAUUUUUAAUGA